GCCGGGGGGGGGGGGGGGGGCGGGGGCACAGCGGGGGGCUCCUGCCCUGACUGGAAGCGCCGGGGCCGGGCGCGCGGCUACCCCUCAGCGCGACCCCCGCGGCCAGCGCCGUCCCGCUCGGUGCGGUAACUGACUGCCGUCACCUGCCCGGCUCGCAGGCCGGGCCGUGCCCCUGAGGUGCUUGUGGCUUGCCGCGUACCGUGCCGCACGACGCGUGCUGAAGGCUCGCUGCUCUCCUCCAGGCUCACGGCGCCGGCUUCUCGCAGCCCUCCCGGGCACUCAUACAACGCCGCAGGCAGACAGGCAGGUCCGGGCUGCUGCGGGGAGCCCCCGCGGGCAGCCCCCUCCAGCCAGAGCCCCGGGGUAGCACAGAGGAGACACCGCUCGCUAGGCCCACCUAGGAGCCAUCAAAAUGUCGACAGCCCCUCUGAACCCCUAAGAAAGGCGAGAUGCCAGUCUUUGCAGCAAUCCCAGAAUGCACGUACCUUGAAGUACAGCAUAUUGCCAAUAGCCUCAUGGGAUCUUCUGGUUAAUUUUGUGUAAUCUUGCUGAAGAGAAGUAUGGCUUGUUAUUAGCAAGAUGAAGAAGAAAGAAAUAUAACAGCAGGUGUUGACUUGAAGAUCCAGAACUCAAAUGAUAUCUCUUAGCCAUGGUGAGUGGAUUGCUGCUGUCAGUUCAACACAGGACAAACCAGUUCAAGUCCAGACACGUGAGCCGUCUGCACUGUCUACCUAAAAAGAGCUUAGUUGGACAGCUGAUGCACAAGCAAGUCCAAGAACGUCAUGACCCAGACUGCCAGCAGGUAUCCCAAACUCAUCUCUUCCCACGUUCAUCCAUACGACAACUUUAAACUGGAGCUCUUUAAACUCCAGCUUUAAACUGGAGUAACACAAACUACAACUGCUGCUGAAAAGGCACUUACUGUUGGCUCCAUCAGUUAUUCCUGGUUCUGUUCUCAGUUCACAAUAUAUAGGCUAUGCAUGCAACUCCCCCUUACAUUUAUGGCCUCUAUCACCCCCACGUUUAGGGGAACUCCGUGGAAUAAAAAUCUUCCCUACUUAAGUCUCAUUUCGUGUUUUCAUUUUCCGUAGUGCAAA